GGAUUUGGAAUCAUUUAAUAUAAAAUCCCUUAGAUAUAAAAUUUUUAUAGCUUUUCCUACAUACUGUGAAAAUAUUGCAAAAGAGUUUGCACUAUUGACAUUUCUGUUUGCAAUUUAUGCAGAAGCCUGUUUUACUGCAAAAUUAGGUCUUAAUGUGCUUCACAAGCUAAAUCUUUUCAGAAAAAGGACUAGAGCAGUCAUAGUUGGUUGUCUACCCAAUAUCCACUCCCUCUUCCAUUCUCUGGCAGAACCCCAACAUUGUGCUGGGAGCCUGCCCCCUACUCCCACUCCCCCAAUCCAUGCAGGUAAAGAAAGCACAUCUCAGCCCAGCCGAGGACAGAAGGAGGUGGGACAGUUCUGACUGGUCGAAGCCACUUAUGGAAAGCCCAUCCCACCUCUCUCAAUAUAUAUUUCCAGAGGCCAUAUUUAAGCUCCUGUCAUCAUAGAACUUAGAAUUAGAACAAAUGCUCAAUAAACGUUGAUGAAUGAAACAAUCAGCACUUGGCAUUCCCCUCACCAUUGUUAUUGGUCCAGGAACGGAUACAUGACCUAGCUGGGUCAAAUGAGGCUGAAGAGAAGGACUUUUAAGGUUAAAUGAAAGGUUCAUUGUGUUCUCCACUAUUUUGAACAAAGCAACGCACUGCCCAUUUCUGCUGGGCACCAUUUUGCCACUUUGAGAACGGAGCCCGAGAACAAGCUCCCCUCAGAGGAGGGCGGAGCUGAGAGAAUCUCUAAGAAACGGAGCCAGAGCUUACCUUCCCUCUGCACUUCCAGUUCUGCUCUGCUUCUGGAAAACCUGACCCAAGAUGAAUCCUCCAUAGUAUUAGCUAGAAGUCACACAGCUUGUGAAAGAUGUCAUCAGAACUGGACCCCAGAUCUUCUGACCUCCAAGUUUACACUCUCACCAGUUCAGCCCUGCCCCUUCUCGCCAUCUCUGGAUGACCUCUCCUCACCGCACUAAUUUCCCGCAAGCUACUGGGGUCAGUACCAGUUCCCGGUAAUGACUGAUGUGGACAACAGCCUGAGACCCCGUCAGCUCUUUCUUCAGCACCGAG